AGAGUUUGAUCCUGGCUCAGGAUGAACGCUGGCGGCGUGCUUAACACAUGCAAGUCGAACGAUGAUCCGGUGCUUGCACCGGGGAUUAGUGGCGAACGGGUGAGUAACACGUGAGUAACCUGCCCUUAACUCUGGGAUAAGCCUGGGAAACUGGGUCUAAUACCGGAUAUGACUCCUCAUCGCAUGGUGGGGGGUGGAAAGCUUUAUUGUGGUUUUGGAUGGACUCGCGGCCUAUCAGCUUGUUGGUGAGGUAAUGGCUCACCAAGGCGACGACGGGUAGCCGGCCUGAGAGGGUGACCGGCCACACUGGGACUGAGACACGGCCCAGACUCCUACGGGAGGCAGCAGUGGGGAAUAUUGCACAAUGGGCGCAAGCCUGAUGCAGCGACGCCGCGUGAGGGAUGACGGCCUUCGGGUUGUAAACCUCUUUCAGUAGGGAAGAAGCGAAAGUGACGGUACCUGCAGAAGAAGCGCCGGCUAACUACGUGCCAGCAGCCGCGGUAAUACGUAGGGCGCAAGCGUUAUCCGGAAUUAUUGGGCGUAAAGAGCUCGUAGGCGGUUUGUCGCGUCUGCCGUGAAAGUCCGGGGCUCAACUCCGGAUCUGCGGUGGGUACGGGCAGACUAGAGUGAUGUAGGGGAGACUGGAAUUCCUGGUGUAGCGGUGAAAUGCGCAGAUAUCAGGAGGAACACCGAUGGCGAAGGCAGGUCUCUGGGCAUUAACUGACGCUGAGGAGCGAAAGCAUGGGGAGCGAACAGGAUUAGAUACCCUGGUAGUCCAUGCCGUAAACGUUGGGCACUAGGUGUGGGGGACAUUCCACGUUUUCCGCGCCGUAGCUAACGCAUUAAGUGCCCCGCCUGGGGAGUACGGCCGCAAGGCUAAAACUCAAAGGAAUUGACGG
rnacentral:rRNA from 1 species